rnacentral:rRNA from 1 species
UACGGGAGGCAGCAGUGGGGAAUAUUGCACAAUGGGCGAAAGCCUGAUGCAGCUAUGCCGCGUGUAUGAAGAAGGCCUUAGGGUUGUAAAGUACUUUCAUCGGGGAGGAAAAACAAAACUAAUAAUUUUAUUUCUUGACGUUACCCGAAAAAGAAGCACCGGCUAACUCCGUGCCAGCAGCCGCGGUAAUACGGAGGGUGCUAGCGUUAAUCAGAAUUACUGGGCGUAAAGAGCACGUAGGUGGUUUUUUUAAGUCAGAUGUGAAAUCCCCUGGGGCUUAACCUAGGAACUGCAUUUUGAAACUGAAAUACUAGAGUAUCGUAGAGGGAGGUAGAAUUCUAGGUGUAGCGGUGAAAUGCGUAGAUAUCUGGAGGAAUACCUGUGGCGAAAGCGGCCUCCUAAACGAAUACUGACACUGAGGUGCGAAAGCGUGGGGAGCAAACAGGGAUUAGAUACC